rnacentral:pre_miRNA from 1 species
GACAACAGAAGAUAAUACUCAUCCCAAAUUCGUUUUAUUUAAUUUUUUUAUGAUUAGUAUUUUUAUUGUUAUUAGAUAAUAAAACAUGAAAAGUACUCUAUGUGUGACUACUUUUUUUUAUUUUUUUCAUAAAUUUUUUAAAUAAGACAGACGAUCAAACGUUAGACACGAAUAUUUACGACUGCACUUAUU